AUCUGCGUGGUGUAUUAACACACCGCUUUUUCGAGGCGGAGUAGGGGCGCACUCCCCGCAGGUA
rnacentral:tRNA from 1 species